rnacentral:lncRNA from 1 species
UAAUUCUUUAGUCUUAUUAUCACUUCACUACCGGAGAUCCUUGUAGAAAAGAAGUAUUCUGCCUCAUCUAGCUUUUAUGCUACUAUAAAUAUGUACUUGUUAUAUUCUGGAACAUGUUUUUGGCAACGUGCUGUGAAAGUGGGAGGAAGCAGAGAAGACUUUUUGCAGGACUGAGAGCUGGGAUAGUCUCUGUGGCUGCUGCAAGCCCUCUGAAUGAUCCUGUUUUCUGCGAACAAGACAAAGCAAGGAAGUGGGCCAUCAUCCCUGCCUUUCAGUGCAGUGUGUCCUCUUGA